rnacentral:lncRNA from 1 species
CUGGCUUAGUUAUGUCCAUUAGACAUUCAAAUUAUUUUUUACUAAUACAAGUAAAUACAAAUAAAAAAGUUAUCCCACCUAUUUGUUUCUUUUUUUCUUGAAUUCUCAAUACUGCUAUAACAGAAUUUUAAUUGUCUGUCCUUUGCAGAUGUAUUUACUCCUCAUUUUAAUGAAAUUUCAUGGACAAUUCUCAUCUCAUGUGUUUAUUAUAUAAAGAACGCUGCUCACUUCAUGAAUUUACAAGCCCUCCAAGGGCACUUUGUGAAGGUUCUGUCAAAUAUAUUAGAUCUAUGCGAUAUCAGUUUCUAUGUUGAAUCAAUGAGAUUAAACAUUGAACUAAGUAAAACAAAAAAG